rnacentral:ncRNA from 1 species
AUUUAAAGUUUGAUUCUAGUUAAUUUCUUGGUUUUUAUAAUAAGUUAUAUAUAUUUAUUUAAAGUUUUUAUUUUAUAGUAAUUAAGAUUUAUUUAUUUUUGGUUAAAAUUAGGUGAUUAUUUUAAUAAUUGAUUAAUUUUGUGCCAGCAAUCGCGGUUAUACAUUUUAAUUAAAAUUAAGUGUUUUAGUUUUAAUUAUUUUUUUUUUUGAUUAUUAUUUUUUUUAUUUAGGUGAAAUUUAUAUUAUAUUUUUAUUUCUAUUUUAAAGUUAUUUUAUAUUUAGGUUUAAAAGUAGGAUUAGAUACCCUGUUACUCUGAAUUUAAGUUUAAGCUUGAAUAAAAGUAGUAGAUCUUCAUAACUCAAAGAAUUUGGCGGUUAAUUUUAAGUUUCAGGGGAAUCUGAUUAUUAAUUGAUAAACCACGAUAGUUUAUACUUUUUAUUUACUUGUAUAUCUCUAUAUUGUGAAUGUUUUUUUAGAAUUAUUUUCUUUUAAAUUUAUAUUAAUAAUAUUAGGUCAAGGUGUAGUUAUUAAAAUAGAUUAUUUGGAUUACUUUAGUUUUAAUUUUAAUUUUAAUUGUAAUUGUUUUUUUAUGAUUAUUUAGAAUUUGAUAGUAAAUUAACAUAAUAUUUUUUAUUGAAUUUAAAUUGAUUAGUGCACAUAUUGCCCGUCACUCCUAUUUUAGGAUAAGUCGUAACAUAGUAACCCCACCGGAAGGUGGGGUUAGAUAAUCAU